rnacentral:rRNA from 1 species
AGAAUUGAUCUUGGUUCAGGACGAACGCUGGCGGCAUGCCUAACACAUGCAAGUCGAACGGGGGUAGCAAUACCCUAGUGGCGAACGGGUGAGUAACACAUAAGCAAUCUGCCCUUCACAGGGGGAUAACAGCGGGAAACUGCUGCUAAUACCGCAUAAGGCCACGGCACCGCAUGGUACAGGGGUAAAAACGAAUCAGUGGUGAAGGAUGAGCUUAUGUCCCAUUAGCUAGUUGGUGAGAUAACAGCCCACCAAGGCGACGAUGGGUAGCCGACCUGAGAGGGUGAUCGGCCACACUGGAACUGAGACACGGUCCAGACUCCUACGGGAGGCAGCAGUGGGGAAUAUUGGGCAAUGGAAGGAAACUCUUACCCAGCAAUGCCGCGUGAGUGAAGAAGGUCUUCGGAUUGUAAAGCUCUUUGAUUGGGGACGAAGAAAGUGACGGUACCCAAAGAACAAGCCCCGGCUAACUACGUGCCAGCCGCCGC